GCCGGUGUAGCUUAGUGGUAAAGCGCUUGCUUCGUAAGCAAGAGACCAUGAGUUCAAUCCUCAUCACCGGCA
rfam:Paramecium bursaria Chlorella virus FR483, complete genome.